UGCUGGAGAAAUAAGAAAAGCUCUAUUAUGUAAAAACUCCAAUGUUUACGGCAUUUCUGUGGAGCAGAGAAUCAGAUCAGAAAACAAGUUUGGGGAGUGGACCCUGCGUAAGAAACGUCGCGGGUCAGCAUUCAUCAUCUUAGAAGGACGAGCUGCCCUCUAGUCCUCUCAUCCCAGCCCGGCCUGCUGACACGGGGCGGCAGACCACAGCAGGCACUCACCACCUACCCUGGGGAAAUGUUCAGAUCACAAAUCAGUGAUCACCACGCGGGCAAAGCAGGACGUCCAGCCACUACCAGGUUUCCGAGAGAAUGGCAGUCCACUGGUGAGUGAGGACGCAACAAGUGGAUGCUCCACCCCACCCCUGCUCCUCCAGGAGGCCCCUGCCCAGGCAAAGGGUUCCCGAGACCCGGGGAAGAAGUUAUUCCAUCAGGAAUGGGUGAAUGAUAAAGACACCUGACUUAUCACAAUGAGAUUUUCAAUCCCGAACUGCAAACCUCUGAACUGUCUGCUGCCUUGUUUUACCAAUCUGGGAAAUGGGGAUAAGUGUUCCUUCUCCCCAGCACAAAGGAGGACACACAGAGCCUUCAGCAAUAAUGUAAAUAAUGCGUCUUCACCUGGAAGAAAAGUAUUUAGCACAACUCAAGAAAAUGCGAGGAAAUUCUGCUACCAAAUCUGCCAUGUGAUAUUACAUUGGACAGUUACAAAGAAGAGGGAUAACCCUUAUUCAGACGACUUUACCCCCACUAGCCAGUCUUCUCUGGCUCUCCGAGAAACAGCCUCUUAAAAAACCAAGAAGUUUUGUG